rnacentral:rRNA from 1 species
AACAGGGAUUGCCCUAGUAACGGCGAGUGAAGCGGCAACAGCUCAAAUUUGAAAUCUGGCUUCGGCCCGAGUUGUAAUUUGCAGAGGAUGUUUCUGGCGCGGUGCCUUCCGAGUUCCCUGGAACGGGACGCCACAGAGGGUGAGAGCCCCGUAUGGUUGGAUACCAAGCCUGUGUGAAACUCCUUCGACGAGUCGAGUAGUUUGGGAAUGCUGCUCAAAAUGGGAGGUAAAUCUCUUCUAAAGCUAAAUACCGGCCAGAGACCGAUAGCGCACAAGUAGAGUGAUCGAAAGAUGAAAAGCACCUUGAAAAGGGGGUUAAACAGUACGUGAAAUUGUUGAAAGGGAAGCGCUUGUGACCAGACUUGCGCCGGGCGGUUCAUCCGGGGUUCUCCCCGGUGCACUCCGCCCGGUUCAGGCCAGCAUCGGUUCUCGUUGGGGGAUAAGAACGGCAGGAACGUGGCCCUCCUUCGGGAGGGUGUUAUAGCCUGCCGUACGAUACCCUGACGGGGACCGAGGUUCGCGCUCCGCAAGGAUGCUGGCGUAAUGGUCAUCAGCGACCCGUCUUGAAACACGGACCAAGGAGUCGUCCAUUAGAGCGAGCGUUUGGGUAUCAAACCCGCACGCGUAAUGAAAGUGAAAUUAGGUGAGAGCUUCGGCGCAUCAUCGACCGAUCCUGAUGUUCUCGGAUGGAUUUGAGUAAGAGUUUUAACGGACGGACCCGAAAGACAGUGAACUAUGCUUGUAUAGGGUGAAGCCAGAGGAAACUCUGGUGGAGGCUCGCAGCGGUUCUGACGUGCAAAUCGAUCGUCAAA